GUAAAUAUUCGUAAUUCAUUUUAAUCUGAAUUUAUUUCUAAAUCGUACCAUUCUAUUCUUUCAUUAUCUAAAUAUAGAUCUUGUAAAUCUAUUUCAUACCAUUCUUGAUUUAAUAUAUCUUCUAAUUCGUAGUCAUCAAAUAUUUUUUCCCAUAUGAUUCUUCUUAAUUCAAUUAUCUCUAUACCGUUAAGUAUAUAUAAGAUUAAAGUUUCAUAGCUUUUUAUCAUUUCGUCAUGCAUAUAUGUAGUCAUGUUCUUUACUAUGCGGGUUUUUUAUUUCAAAUUAUUCCUUCCUAUCAUAUUCAUAAUUGAUUAAAUUCAUAUUAGAUCAUUAUGAACUAGAUUAUCUUUAUCAUGUUUUCCUGUCACUACUAGCAUCGUACUUUAGCGGAUACUUCCUUCUUAUCAGCGCCUCAACUUUGUUUACUCCCCUAAACGGCUUUCCUCGCCUACCGGUUUCAACAUUAGGAUGGCAUAGUAUAGAAGUUUUCUCCCUGUUUCCAGUGUGCUAAUAAACUAGAAAUCAUGAUUCAAAUAAUUCUAAUACAUAAUAACUAACAUAAAUUUAUUCAAUCACAUAUAUGAUAUUCAGGAAUAUAUGAAAUUAGUUCCGCAUAUAUUUUGAACAAUAUACCUUUGCCUCUUGCUUGGCCAUGCUAUCUGAAAUAUCUGGCUGGAUUUCAGAUUUAUCCAUUAACUUUUAAGUAAUUAGUAUCUAAAAAGAGAGAGUGUUUAUAGGAAAGUUUUUA
rnacentral:lncRNA from 1 species